rnacentral:rRNA from 1 species
AUUGAACGCGGGCGGCAGGCUUAACACCUGCAAGUCGAACGGUAACAGGAAGAAGCUUGCUUUUUUGCUGACGAGUGGCGGAGGAUGAGUAAUGUCUGGGAAACUGCCUGAUGGAGGGGGAUAACUACUGGAAACGGUAGCUAAUACCGCAUAGCGUCGCAAGACCAAAGAGGGGGACCUUCGGGCCUCUUGCCAUCGGAUGUGCCCAGAUGGGAUUAGCUAGUAGGUGGGGUAACGGCUCACCUAGGCGACGAUCCCUAGCUGGUCUGAGAGGAUGACCAGCCACACUGGAACUGAGACACGGUCCAGACUCCUACGGGAGGCAGCAGUGGGGAAUAUUGCACAAUGGGCGCAAGCCUGAUGCAGCCAUGCCGCGUGUAUGAAGAAGGCCUUCGGGUUGUAAAGUACUUUCAGCGGGGAGGAAGGGAGUAAAGUUAAUACCUUUGCUCAUUGACGUUAUCCGCAGAAGAAGCACCGGCUAACUCCGUGCCAGCAGCCGCGGUAAUACGGAGGGUGCAAGCGUUAAUCGGAAUUACUGGGCGUAAAGCGCACGCAGGCGGUUUGUUAAGUCAGAUGUGAAAUCCCCGGGCUCAACCUGGGAACUGCAUCUGAUACUGGCAAGCUUGAGUCUCGUAGAGGGGGGUAGAAUUCCAGGUGUAGCGGUGAAAUGCGUAGAGAUCUGGAGGAAUACCGGUGGCGAAGGCGGCCCCCUGGACGAAGACUGACGCUCAGGUGCGAAAGCGUGGGGAGCAAACAGG